rnacentral:lncRNA from 1 species
AUGAUAGCCUUUGGUAGGACAUAUUAUGUCUUUAUGAUAUGUCUUAAAGGGUCAUAUUAAAAUUUAAAAGUCAAGAUACCUUUUAAAGGGUAUGAUGGACCUUAUUGGGUCAUAUUAGCUAUUAGUGUGUUAGCUCUUAAUGGUUCAUAUUAGCUAUUAGUGCAUGAUUUAUAUCAAUGAUUGACCAUAAAUGAACAAGUUUGACUUUGAGUGACAAAGAUAACUCGUAAUGGGCUAUAAUGGGUCAUUGAUGUUUUAAUAAGCCACCAUUA